UUUUAUAGAGAGGACAAAAUUUGAACCUAAUUAAAUGUCGUGUCUUCAGACAGUUUAAUAAAAAUGUUCUUAUCCUACAAAAUAUUGAAGAUGAGGGAACCAUGCUAGACCUUUUUCACUGUGAAUAAUUCAAAAAAAUAGUCUAACAAACAACCAACAAUAAACAUUAAAGAACGAAAUAAAAGUGUUUGUACGUUAAUAAGCACAAGUUGUAUAAGUUGUUACAACCUAAAUAUGUAGUAGUUUAAUAUUUAACAAAAUGUGGCCGGUGGGUAGCCGCAUAGGCUGGCGGAACUCAAACCCACAAUUAAAUCCACUUUAAUCCUUCCUUCAACCAACCCAACCCAGCAAAUUUAUACAUAUACAUACAAAUAUAUAUACAUACAAUCUAUACUUGCAUAAUUAUUCCCCCCCUUCAAACAAGCUUAUCGAGAUCCGGCGGUGGUCGGUCGUCGGAUUUCGUAAUAUUUCCUGACAACAUGAUGAAGCUUUCUUCUUCCGCCAUCGUCGCAUCUAUUCUCGCCGCGUCCACGGCGGCGCUCUCAUCCUCCAAUUCCAAUUCUUCUGUUCAGGAAUUGAGGAAGAGAAAAGAUGGGGAAAUCAGUUUAGAGAAGGAGAAAUUUGCACCAAGAUUCGAUGGAUUAAGAUUCAUUGAGACAUUGGUCACCGCCCACAGGUGAUCGAAGAUGUAGGUUUUUAAAUUUAUCUGCUUAAUGUUCAUGCCAAAGUUGCAAUUAAGAAACAUAUCUGGUUGUAGGAUUGUGACAUUUUGAUUGGUGUGAUGUGGGUAGUUUUAAUUCUUUUCUAUUUCAUUGUAAGAUCCCAUUUGUUGGGCGCCGAUUGUAUCAUUAUUAUUGUUACUUGAGCAUACUAUAAGCACUUUUUUAUUCA